CCCUUAGAUGUUCUGGGCCGCACGCGCGCUACACUGAUGCAUUCAACGAGCCUAUCCUUGACCGACAGGUCCGGGUAAUCUUUGAAUCUGCAUCGUGACGGGGAUAGAUUAUUGCAAUUAUUAAUCUUCAACGAGGAAUGCCUAGUAGGCGCAAGUCAUCAGCUUGCGUCGAUUACGUCCCUGCCCUUUGUACACACCGCCCGUCGCUCCUACCGAUUGGGUGUGCUGGUGAAAUGUUCGGAUCGGCCGUUUGUCGCGGUUCCGCGUCAUGUGGCUGAGAAGUUCAUUAAACCCUCCCACCUAGAGGAAGGAGAAGUCGUAACA
rnacentral:rRNA from 1 species